rnacentral:lncRNA from 1 species
AACACUCAAUAAAACCUCUCAUAAACUUUGAAGAGAGAACCCAGAGAUCUAGACUACAACCCGUACAGAAAUCACACACCCCAAAACAGAAAAAAAAACUCUCAGUUGCGCUCAAGAUUCUGCAACUCCUUUCACUCUGCAGAAUGAAGACGAUGAAGUUAGUUUUAACUAACUUCAGUCUGAUCUGAUCAGAGCCGUUCAUCAAAAUCAACGGACGAGAUUAAAACCCAGCAACUAAUAAGUAUUGCAGAUAAGUCCCUCCGUGUUUCUGAACUUUGCACAUCAACCCUUCCGCAGCAACGCGUUUCCUCCAAUUAAAAGAGAAGCACGACUUUGAGAAUAAACAAAUAACAGGACGGCUGUGGCGCUCUCACCGGACUUGGCCGAAGUAUUACCAACGGCACAAUGCCGCCGGUUAUAACCGACAACAUUUUGUCGUCGUUAAUAUUUUAUUUAUUUAUUUAUUUUAUUGUGUAUCCAUAAUUUAUUUCCGUAUUUAUACAGUAUUGCAUAAGUUAGACGGACUUCCUAGUCGGUCACCCAUCUUAGUUGUGCUCUAAGUCAAGCACGCUUAACCUUGAAGUUAUUUUCGAGUGGUCACCAGAACAGAACACUCAUAUUAUUGAUAUAUCUAGUACCUAUUAAUUCAUUUAAAUUCUACUUCAAUAUAAAAAAUAUUAUAUAUUCAUAACCUNUAUUGCAUAAGUUAGACGGACUUCCUAGUCGGUCACCCAUCUUAGUUGUGCUCUAAGUCAAGCACGCUUAACCUUGAAGUUAUUUUCGAGUGGUCACCAGAACAGAACACUCAUAUUAUUGAUAUAUCUAGUACCUAUUAAUUCAUUUAAAUUCUACUUCAAUAUAAAAAAAUAUUAUAUAUUCAUAACCUUAGAAUAUGUCGAGAUGAUAUCCAAGAGAUAUUGUUAAUUACGGAUCGGGUUCGUUUCCGUCCUUAUUUUUAUGUCGAAAAAUAUUUUAUUUAUUAAUUUAUUAUUAUUAUUAUUAUUAUUGUUGUUGUUGUUGUUGUUGUUGUUGUUGUUGUUGUUGUUUUAAUCAAUCUAGAUUAUACCCCAUAAGUAUUUUAAUUUGGUAUUUGCAAUGUAUUUUGAACUCAAUUAUAUACAUCUAGUUCCUAUUAAGAUUCUUCAAUUAAAGAGUGAUUAGUUGAAAUUCUACAUAAGAUUCUUGAUUCUAAACUAGAUUAGUGAAGAUUCUU